UACAGAGGGUGCAAGCGUUGUUCGGAAUUAUUGGGCGUAAAGCGCGUGUAGGCGGCUUCGCAAGUCGGGUGUGAAAGCCCUCGGCUCAACCGAGGAAGUGCGCCCGAAACUGCAGAGCUUGAGUACCGGAGAGGAUGGCGGAAUUCCCCAAGUAGAGGUGAAAUUCGUAGAUAUGGGGAGGAACACCGGUGGCGAAGGCGGCCAUCUGGACGGAUACUGACGCUGAGACGCGAAAGCGUGGGGAGCAAACAGG
rnacentral:rRNA from 1 species